rnacentral:lncRNA from 1 species
AACGGCAGCGUCAGCAAGUGUAUAGAGCAGGCCUUCGGUUCUGCUAACAAUUGCUUGAAAAUCGAGGGAAGAAUGAAAGGUAUGGACAGGGGGAAGUUGAUGGAAGCUGAAAUUAACUCUGGUGGUGAGGUGUCUCCGGUGGGGAAGAGUAUGGAGAGGAAGAUGGCGAGAAAGGGAUGGGAGAGAAGAACCGACGAAAGGUGAGGAUGAGAUAAGAGUUUUCGCCAUGGGAGAGUAAUGAUUCAGCAAAGGAAUCAAAGGAAGAAGAAAAUUCAGGUUCUCAUGAGAGAAAG